AACGUAGGAGACAAACGUUAUCCGGAGUUACUGGGCGUAAAGGGCGUGUAGGCGGUUUGUUAGGUCUGGCGUGAAAGCUCUCGGCUAAACCGGGAGAGGUCGUUGGAUACUGGCAAACUAGAGGACGGUAGAGGCGUGUGGAAUUCCGGGUGUAGUGGUGAAAUGCGUAGAGAUCCGGAGGAACACCAGUGGCGAAGGCGACACGCUGGGCCGUACCUGACGCUAAAGCGCGACAGCAUGGGGAGCAAACGGG
rnacentral:rRNA from 1 species